UUGAUUUUUUCUGUGUUUGAUUGUGAAAACCCAUCUACUAAUAUAUUAAAACUGUACAAAAAGUAAUGUUACUAGAAUUUAUAUUCUACUUAUGUAGUGCUUUCUAAUAUUGCCAGACAUUUUAUUUUAAGACCAAUGACUAGUCUAUAAUAAUUGAUUGAAUUAUGAGAUUAAACCAAUAAAUAAUCAUUAAAAACAAUUAAAAUAAAAAAACUCAAUUUAAAUCAUUAUUUUUAUUUGUCUGAUUUAAGUCAUGAUUUAAAUCGAAACAACCCUUUAUAUAUUCCAUCUUUCUGAGGCAGAGGGACAUUAUUCUUGGUUUUAUAAUUUUUAAUUUAAUAUCUCUGGAUAUUUUACAUAUUUAGUGUGCGUACAACAGUUAACAACUUUAAUCUUAUACAUUAACUUUAGUUAUAACUUAAUUAUUAAUGAUUUGGUUUAUAGAUUUUUAAAGCAAUACAAGAUUAAAUUUAGCAGAAGGCUAAACUUCUGCUUUGGAGACAAAAAAGGAAGGCAGCGAAAAUGACAAAGAGACAAAAAAAUUGUGUAUAUCUUGGUGCAGAUGAUUUAUCUUCAUUUUCUUAUAAUAAAACAAAAAAUAUUAUUAAACUUUGGGAUUUACCUGUAACUCGAAACUCUUUACAGAAGUUCAAUGUUUGCUCUGAGAAGUUGAAUGAACAAAAUUUAUUAAAUGUGUUCAUUCAUAGUCAUCAUUGAAGUACAACUUGGUAAAUUACAAAAUACAUCAAAUUUAGUUAUAAAAAUUUGAGUAACAAAGGUAUGCUAAUUAUUGUAUUGCCUGAAAGAGUGUCAUUGCUAUUAAAAGCAGUGAAGAAUUCAAGUACUCUGGAAGAAAAGAAAAUACGUAAGUAAAUGGUCAAUUAUUUGGCACAAAUUGGAGUUAAAGACAAAGGAGAUUGUAUAAUUUAUUUGCUAAGAAUAGUUUUUUAAAAUGGCCUAGUUGUAAAAUUAAACUAUGCAGAGAGAGGAUAAAAAAUUAGAAUAGAAAAAAUGUUGAUUGCAUAUGCUGCUAUUGAAACUGUGAAGUCAAAUAAGCAUGGCUUAU